GAAGCGGCAACAGCUCAAAUUUGAAAUCUGGCCCUAGCGGUCCGAGUUGUACUUUGUAGAGGAUGCUUUUGGCGAGGUGCCUUCCGAGUUCCCUGGAACGGGACGCCGGAGAGGGUGAGAGCCCCGUACGGUUGGACGCCGAGCCUCUGUAUAGCUCCUUCGACGAGUCGAGUAGUUUGGGAAUGCUGCUCUAAAUGGGAGGUAAAUUUCUUCUAAAGCUAAAUACCGGCCAGAGACCGAUAGCGCACAAGUAGAGUGAUCGAAAGAUGAAAAGCACUUUGAAAAGAGGGUUAAAUAGCACGUGAAAUUGUUGAAAGGGAAGCGUUUGCGACCAGACUUUUUCCGGGGGGAUCAUCCGGCGUUCUCGCCGGUGCACUUCCCCCGGUCGAGGCCAGCAUCGGUUUCCUUAGGGGGAUAAAGGCCCGGGGAACGUGGCUCCUUCGGGAGUGUUAUAGCCCCGGGCGUAAUACCCCUCGGGGGACCGAGGAACGCGCUCUGCAAGGAUGCUGGCGUAAUGGUCGUCAACGACCCGUCUUGAAACACGGACCAAGGAGUCGAACAUUUGUGCGAGUGUUUGGGUGUCAAACCCUCACGCGUAAUGAAAGUGAACGGAGGUGAGAGCCCUCGCGGGUGCAUCAUCGACCGAUCCUGAUGUCUUCGGAUGGAUUUGAGUAAGAGCAUAACUGUUCGGACCCGAAAGAUGGUGAACUAUGCGUGGAUAGGGUGAAGCCAGAGGAAACUCUGGUGGAGGCUCGCAGCGGUUCUGACGUGCAAAUCGAUCGUCAAAUCUGCGCAUGGGGGCGAAAGACUUAUCGAACCAUCUAGUAGCUGGUUACCGCCGAAGUUUCCCUCAGGAUAGCAGUGUUGUUCUUCAGUUUUAUGAGGUAAAGCGAAUGAUUAGGGACUCGGGGGCGCUAUAUUGCCUUCAUCCAUUCUCAAACUUUAAAUAUGUAAGAAGCCCUUGUUACUUAGUUGAACGUGGGCAUUCGAAUGUACCAACACUAGUGGGCCAUUUUUGGUAAGCAGAACUGGCGAUGCGGGAUGAACCGAACGCGGGGUUAAGGUGCCAGAGUGGACGCUCAUCAGACACCACAAAAGGUGUUAGUACAUCUUGACAGCAGGACGGUGGCCAUGGAAGUCGGAAUCCGCUAAGGACUGUGUAACAACUCACCUGCCGAAUGUACUAGCCCUGAAAAUGGAUGGCGCUCAAGCGUCUCACCCAUACCUCGCCCUUAGGGUAGAAACGAUGCCCUAAGGAGUAGGCGGCCGUGGAGGUUAGUGACGAAGCCUAGGGC
rnacentral:rRNA from 1 species